AUUGAACGCUGGCGGCAGGCCUAACACAUGCAAGUCGAGCGGAUGAAGGGAGCUUGCUCCUGGAUUCAGCGGCGGACGGGUGUGUAAUGCCUAGGAAUCUGCCUGGUAGUGGGGGAUAACGUCCGGAAACGGGCGCUAAUACCGCAUACGUCCUGAUGGAGAAAGUGGGGGAUCUUCGGACCUCACGCUAUCAGAUGAGCCUAGGUCGGAUUAGCUAGUUGGUGGGGUAAAGGCCUACCAAGGCGACGAUCCGUAACUGGUCUGAGAGGAUGAUCAGUCACACUGGAACUGAGACACGGUCCAGACUCCUACGGGAGGCAGCAGUGGGGAAUAUUGGACAAUGGGCGAAAGCCUGAUCCAGCCAUGCCGCGUGUGUGAAGAAGGUCUUCGGAUUGUAAAGCACUUUAAGUUGGGAGGAAGGGCAGUAAGUUAAUACCUUGCUGUUUUGACGUUACCAACAGAAUAAGCACCGGCUAACUUCGUG
rnacentral:rRNA from 1 species